CGCUGGCGGCGGGGUUUAGGCAUGCAAGUCGCGCGUGAACGUCCUUCGGGGCUAUUAGCGCGGCGAAAGGGUGAGUAAUGCUUCGUUAAUGUACCCAUGGGACCGGGAUAAUUCCUGGAAACGGGUUGUAAUACCGGAUGAGACCCCAGGCACCACGGUGCCGGUGGUCAAAGGCAUGUUGCUUUCGGGCGCAUGCGCCGAUGGAGCGGACGAAGUCUGAUUAGCUUGUUGGUGGGGUCACGGCCUACCAAGGCGAUGAUCAGUAGCGGGCCUGAGAGGGUGGCCCGCCACACUGGGACUGAGACACUGCCCAGACUCCUACGGGAGGCUGCAGUCGCGAAUCAUUCACAAUGGACGGAAGUCUGAUGAUGCCACGCCGCGUGCGGGAAGAAGGCCUUCGGGUUGUAAACCGCUGUCGAGAGGGGGGAAGUAUUGACUGCCCUCUGGAGGAAGCCCCGGCUAAACACGUGCCAGCAGCCGCGGUAAUACGUGUGGGGCAAGCGUUGUUCGGAAUCACUGGGCUUAAAGGGUGCGUAGGCGGCCUAUCAAGUCAGGGGUGAAAUCCCGUGGCCCAACCGUGGAAUUGCCUUUGAUACUGGUGGGCUUGAGUGUGCCAGGGGUGAGCGGAACGUGUGGUGUAGCGGUGAAAUGCGUAGAUAUCACACGGAAGGCCGGAGCCGAAGGGGGCUCACUGGGGCACAACUGACGCUGAGGCACGAAAGCGUGGGGAGCAAACAGGAUUAGAUACCCUGGUAGUCCACGCCGUAAACGAUGAGCACUAGGCGGUUGUCUUGUUAGGGAUGGCCGUUGGAGAGAAAUUGUUAAGUGCUCCGCCUGGGGAGUAUGGUCGCA
rnacentral:rRNA from 1 species